GUGCCGUUGUUUUUUUACGAGCGCACUUGAGCCGCCAUUGGCCGCUUAAGCCCAUGUGACGGAGCGCGUCUCCCUCUUGCUCGCUUGGCUUUCCGCCGCGUGUGUGGAGGUGGAGACGCGCCCGCUGAUGCCUCGACGCCCGCACGGACACUGACAUUCAACAGGCGGGAGGAUUACAGCAUCAGGAUGACAAAAGCGGUGACGUUAACCGAGACGAUGGUGAAGAAGACGAUGAGCAGCUGCAAAUUUGUCAC